AACCCUUUCGGCGCCCGCCGCCGGCGCAGACGGGCGGGGCUUCGGCCGCGGGUUCUCGGUCUUUCUGCCGCCCCAGGCUGGGUGCGGGAGGGCGUCGCCGGUACCGCCCCUCUUCCUGUCACCCUAGGGCGGCCUCUGGGCGACCGCGGUGUUGAUUCAGGGUCCUUGAUGUUGGAGGACACUGGCCGGGUGGGUCCCUUACGUCACGUCACAAGGCAGCCUGGGGGAGUCUGCGCUGCCGCCCUCCCUAGCAUGUGCUGGCUAGGAUGGUAGCCUACCUUUUGUAAGCCAAGCGCUACCUCCUAAGUGAGUCUACGCCCCACAAGUUGGAACAGGAACCAAUGCCCCUAUUAAGGAGGAAGAAACGCACUUUGGAAACGCUAAAUAUUUCCAGUAGCCCAAGAAGAACGGGUGAUGAAGCUGCAGCUGUCAUAGACACAAAGCAGGUGAGAUCUGACAACAGUGAGACUCCAUCCAGCCUUGCAGAAAACAUCUUGCUGAGCUGCACUUCAGUGUGUUACUCUGAGCUUUUGACUAGAACGGCCACUAGCAGCCUGCAGCCUGUGAGUUCAAUUUGAGAGAUAAGUAUUUUUCACGUGUCUUUAAGAACUCCAACGGAAAGAAAGACUAUUUAAUAUAGACAGACCAUCUGUGCCCCUAAAAAGCUUCAAUUAUUUGGCAUCUACUGCUAUACAGAAAAGUGUUUUGUAUGCUUUAUCUAUAAGCAAUAAUAUCCAUAUAAAAACAGCAGCAAAUGAUUAAAAAGCCACAAAAUUUCUGAA
rnacentral:lncRNA from 1 species